rnacentral:telomerase_RNA from 1 species
UUGCACCUUCGCCAGCCCUACAGUUCACCGUCACUCAUUUUCCGCAAGGAAUGUCUAUCGCAGACCCCUCUACGAGGCCCGGAUGACCGCGCGCGAGCCGCUCCCGAGCCUGCAUCAGGACCUCGCUGUUAGCCGCUGCUGGAUACCUCACCCGCCGCGGGUUCAACGCACCCAUAGCCAGGGGUGCCCGGCCGACCCAGAGGGAAUGCGUGUCGGAACUUAACCCUAAGUAAUCCUUCUGGUUCUUUCCCAAGUCUUGUGUCCUUUUGUCGUUGGCAGAGCCUUUUAAGUUGCGCGAGGAUCCCCGGACGCCCUUUGCCCGCUGAAAAGUUGGAUUGGGCUGCUUGGAAAACCUCGGCCUGCGACCGAAUGGCUCUCGCCGACGCCCCGGUUGCUUCUCGUCUUUUGGGGGAGAGGCAGGUCAAGGGAGAGGAUGCCAUGAGCCGUGCUGGUAAGAGUCUCUGGUCUGAGACCGCUCGUCGGCUCUUCUCCGCCGGAACCAGUGCUGUGGUUUUUGACAGCACGGCCGAUCGAGUGGUGCGGUCUGAAUAAACUGGGAGCUGAUUUGGUGUUUGUAAAUGGAGACACCCGAGGGAGUGCGAGUUGAGCUUGAAUGCGGCUACACACAGAGACGGCAUUUCUCCCUUUUUUCUUUUAUCCAACUUCUCCUUGCCGGAUGUUUUGUCAGCGUAAUGGCUGGCAAUACUGCAAGAGACAGCGCGGAUUACAAACAGAAAUGCUGCUCGUUCUUUCAUGCCCACUCAUGACGCUCUCGGAUCUUGCACCCUCAAGUCUUUUCAAAUGCCGAAGACGCCUCGGAAACUACGGAACGCCCCUCGAGCCAUGACUUUGCUCCGGCGAUCUCGUGGUAGAUUCUUUUUCCAAGGUCUAGCCAGGCACAUUAGCUUCUACACGUCAGCCCCGUCCGACAUGGCAGAAGGCGCCAGUCCAUCGCUGAUUGCCCUGCGACAUCAGCAAUUCCCUCUACUUUUGGGUGUUUCCCGAAAAGACGAGAUGACAGCACGUUUUUUAUGGAUGUCUUUUGAGCGUGCGGUAAUGCUUCCCUUUUCUAAACUUUGCUUCGGCAAGUUUUGAUGGGAAUGAAUCAAAAACUAGUCCCUGCAGGCAGUGCAAUACAUACAGAACAAGUCAACAUUAGCGAGCGACAUUGCUGCAUGGAAGACAGAAAUGGCUGGACUGGGUAUUUUUGGUGGUAGGCCGACUGACGACAGCAGCGAAUCAUUAUGGCUUUGGCAUUGGGCAGUCCGAGUGGCAGCUUGUCAACUUGGGCCCGAGUGAGCAGACAGCGCCGAACCAAAAAGCAGCUUGUCGGGACCCAUCUCGUGUUGGUGUCAAAGUUUCGUGCUUGUCCGGCACUGUGGGCUGGCGGAGCUGGCUGCGAGCUGGAGAUGUGCCUCGCAGCGCUUUUCGUGUUGAAAAUCUAUUCGUUUUGAAGGGACAGGCCCUGGGAUAUGGGUAGUCCUGGUUGUCCCGGCUGUCAGAAAUGUCGGACGGGGCAGCCCCCC